rnacentral:rRNA from 1 species
GUGCGCCUACGGGAGGCAGCAGUGGGGAAUAUUGCACAAUGGGGGAAACCCUGAUGCAGCGACGCCGCGUGAGCGAUGAAGUAUUUCGGUAUGUAAAGCUCUAUCAGCAGGGAAGAAAAUGACGGUACCUGACUAAGAAGCCCCGGCUAACUACGUGCCAGCAGCCGCGGUAAUACGUAGGGGGCAAGCGUUAUCCGGAUUUACUGGGUGUAAAGGGCGUGCAGCCGGGAAGACAAGUCAGAUGUGAAAUCCCGCGGCUCAACCGCGGAACUGCAUUUGAAACUGUUUUUCUUGAGUACCGGAGG